rnacentral:misc_RNA from 1 species
CUCUAGGCUUGCAUUUACACACAAGCUCAAGCAACCUACCCGAACUCUCGGCGGGCCACCGAUUGAGUUCCUAUUUGGUCUUGCUACGAGUGGAGUUUACCUAGCUGCCAAAUGUUACCACUGGCACGGUGCGCUCUUACCGCACCCUUUCACCCUUACCAGCCAAAGCUGGCGGUCUGCUCUCUGUUGCACUAGUCGUAGGCUCGCGCCCCCCGGACGUUAUCCGGCG